rnacentral:rRNA from 1 species
GACGAACGCUGGCGGCGUGCUUAACACAUGCAAGUCGAACGGAAAGGCCCUGCUUUUGUGGGGUGCUCGAGUGGCGAACGGGUGAGUAACACGUGAGUAACCUGCCCUUGAUUUUGGGAUAACUUCAGGAAACUGGGGCUAAUAUCGGAUAGGAGCUCCUGCUGCAUGGUGGGGGUUGGAAAUUUUUGGCGGUUGGGGUUGGACUCGCGGCUGAUGAGCUUGUUGGUGGGGGAGUGGCUUACUAAGGCUGUGACGGGUAGCCGGCCUGGGAGGGUGACCGGACACAUGUCCACUGAGAUACGCCGCAGACUACUACGUAUGGCAGCAGUAGGGAGUAUUGUACAGUGAGCGGAAGUAUGAUGCGGCAACUCCGCGUGCGGAAUGACGGCAUUCGGGUUAUAAACCGCUUCCGGCUAUGACGAAGAGGGGGUGACGGUAAUGGGUAAAGAAGCACCGGCUAACUACGUG